GAAGGCUCAUUAAGUCCGUCGAGGACGAGGCAGCAGUAGAGAAUAUUGUGCAAUAUACGGCAGUAUGACACAGAGAGCACACGCCCUCUUGGCCUGUCCAACUAAGUGCCAGCAGACGCGGUUAGACUUAGGGGCCAAGCCUUUAUGAGCAAAGGGGCGUAAAGGGUGUGUAGGCCGACUGCCCCACCCCCCCAAGGUGGUAAAUGGAAUUUUUCUGUAGCGGUAGAAUGUGCGGAUAGAAAAUAGAACCCCAAAAGCAGAAGCAAUUUACCGCGGGGCGGGAGGGGGGGCCCCUUGGGGCGCCCCUCCGGGCCACGGGCUGAAACACGAGGGUGUGGGGAACAAACAGGAUUAGAGACCCUGGUAGUCCACACUGUAAACGAUGGAGAAAAUGCGAAUGCAGCCCCGAAAGGCAGCAAUCUCCCGCCUGAGUAGUACGAUCGCAAGAUUAAAAUUCAAAAAAUUUGGCUGUUCACCGUUUCGAUUAGAGGAGCGUGUAGUUUAAUUCGAUAAACCGCGAGAUACCUUACCCAAACUUGAAUCCUUGAGGAUUCCAAGGAAUCCUUAUGGACCGGUAUUGCAUGGCCGUCGUCAGUUCGUGUAUGAAACCUUAAACGGACCCAACCCGAGGAUUAGCCGCGGAUGAAGUCAGGUCUUAUGGUCCCAAUGUUUGGGGAUAAUAUGCGCUACAUUUUCUUAUACAAUGGGAAACCUGGGAGGUGAAACCCAAAAGUGAGAGUUCGGUAGGCUAUUGGAAGAUGGCCGAAAGUUGAAUUUAAUAGUAAUCGGAAAGUAUAGCGUUCCGGUGAAAAUGGUCUAGGUGUUAGCACAAAUCGCCCGUCACCUUAACUUAGGAUGAUGGUUCGGACGCCGCCGCGCCCCCACGGGCCCCGGCGGUUACGGGCCCCUACGAAGUUAAGCAA
rnacentral:rRNA from 2 species